UUUUGGACAAUGGGCGCAAGCCUGAUCCAGCCAUGCCGCGUGCGGGAAGAAGGCCUUCGGGUUGUAAACCGCUUUUGUCAGGGAAGAAACGCGCUGAGCUAAUACCUCGGCGUAAUGACGGUACCUGAAGAAUAAGCACCGGCUAACUACGUGCCAGCAGCCGCGGUAAUACGUAGGGUGCAAGCGUUAAUCGGAAUUACUGGGCGUAAAGCGUGCGCAGGCGGUUAUGCAAGACAGAUGUGAAAUCCCCGGGCUUAACCUGGGAACUGCAUUUGUGACUGCAUAGCUGGAGUGCGGCAGAGGGAGAUGGAAUUCCGCGUGUAGCAGUGAAAUGCGUAGAUAUGCGGAGGAACACCGAUGGCGAAGGCAAUCUCCUGGGCCUGCACUGACGCUCAUGCACGAAAGCGUGGGGAGCAAACAGG
rnacentral:rRNA from 1 species